AUUGAUUUCUUUCAUGAUUAUUGUGGAAAUUGAAAUAGCCACAAUGCUGAAAUUAAUAUAUAUUGACAUUUGUUUAUAUUACGUGAUUGAGUAAUAUCGUAGAGAAGAUAAACAUCGAUAUUUACGAUUAUAUUGGGAGAUUCGAGGUUUUCCAAUUCGAGUGCAUAUACUUGUGAAAGACCAGCUUCGAAACAAAAUAGCAAGACCUUUUUCCCUGAUUGAAAAUUAUAUCAUUUCUCAGAAGAUAAUUGGAAUUAAGCGACACCUGCAUCUUUACGUUCAUAUUUUAUGUAACUGAAUGCGUUGAUGUCACUGCCAUUCUUCAUCAUGCCUAGUUAAAAUCCAGUGCUAGCUUCUCUCUGGCUUUAAAGAAACGCCUUCUGGAUCAGCUCAUCAUACCUUAAUGGGCCAUUCGAGUCGCUUAUGGUUAAAGGACGGAUCUCCUUCUGUUGCAUUGGACUAUCCAGGUAUUAUGUCUGCAUAAUUGUGGAAUCCUAGCGGCUCAGAGGCUGCUAUUGUAGACUAUUCGAAGAUUGUGAAUAUUUUUCCGCGUUCAUUAAAAAAAAACUAGUUUCAGGUUUUAACGCUCUAUUUCUAAUUUGAUUAAUAAUCCCAGGCAUUUUUAAAAUGGAUUUUAAAUUCUUUCUCAAACUUGAUAGCGAAUUAAGAUCUAUGCGAUACCAUGGAUUUCCUCGGAGUUAGAAACGAAUAGUUCUUACACAAUCUUUAUUAAAACGAUGGUAAAUUUUCAAAAACGAAUCUUGAUGAAAAGUGGAAAAAUUUCUUUUAAUUUUGGUUUAAAAAUAAGUCGAUGCUAAUUUUUUAGGACUAUUAGUAUGAUAAUCGUUUUAUCCACAAAAUAUAAUUUCGAACUUUACUUUAAGCGUUUUCAUUCAGUUCCCAGUACAACUUCAUUUAAGGAUAUUUCCCGUUCAUCGCGAAUUAAACAUAAAACGUAUUCGCAGUUCCUGCAGAUUUUUCCUGAUCCAACUUUUUAUUGAAUAUUGUAAAUUCAAGUAAUAG